AUUGAACGCUGGCGGCAGGCCUAACACAUGCAAGUCGAACGAGUGGCGGACGGGUGAGUAAUGUCUGGGAAACUGCCUGAUGGAGGGGGCUAACUACUGGAAACGGUAGCUAAUACUGCAUACCAUCAGAUGUGCCCAGAUGGGAUUAGCUAGUUGGUGGGGUAACGGCUCACCAAGGCGACGAUCCCUAGCUGGUCUGAGAAGAUGACCAGACGCGCAGGAACAGAAAAACGGUCCAGAAUCCUACGGGAAGCAGCGGUGGGGAAUAUUGCACAAUGGACGCCAGCCUGAUGCAGCCAUGCCGCAUGUAUGAAGAAGACCGUCAGGUUGUAAAGUACUUUCAGCGGGGAGGCGUUACCCGCAGAGGAAGCACCGGCUAACUCCGUGCCAGCAGCCGCGGUAAUAC
rnacentral:rRNA from 1 species